rnacentral:rRNA from 1 species
AUGAGUUGCAUCAGCUGGAACUGCCAGGGGCUGGGGAACCCCAACGUAGUUCGCGAGCUUCGUAAUGUGGUGAAGCAAGAAGGGCCCGCCCUCCUCUUUGUUAUGGAGACGAAGAUCAGGGCUGACAGGGUAGAGAAUGUGAAGAUUACAUUGGGUUUUUUUGGUUGUUUUGCAGUUAAUAGCGUCGGUCUCAGUGGAGGCAUCGGAUUAUUUUGGUCCAAGGAUGUUUCCAUUGAGCUCAAAAACUAUAGUUCUGGUCACAUUGAUGUGUUGGUGCGUGAUACGUCUCCAACGUAUCUAUAA